AUUUAAAUAGUUUAAUUAAAAUAUUGAUUUGUGGUAUCAAAGAUGUGAUUUAAUCACUUUAGAUA
rnacentral:tRNA from 1 species